rnacentral:rRNA from 1 species
UACAGAGGUCUCAAGCGUUGUCCGGAUUUAUUGGGCGUAAAGAGCGUGUAGGCGGCUUUGCAAGUCCGUUGUGAAAACUCGAGGCUCAACCUCGAGACGCCGGUGGAAACUGCAAAGCUAGAGUCCGGAAGAGGAGAGUGGAAUUCCUGGUGUAGCGGUGAAAUGCGCAGAUAUCAGGAAGAACACCCGUGGCGAAGGCGGCUCUCUGGGACGGUACUGACGCUGAGACGCGAAAGCGUGGGGAGCGAACAGG